rnacentral:rRNA from 1 species
ACGAACGCUGGCGGCGUGCCUAAUACAUGCAAGUCGAACGCACUCUCGUUUAGAUUGAAGGAGCUUGCUCCUGAUUGAUAAACAUUUGAGUGAGUGGCGGACGGGUGAGUAACACGUGGGUAACCUGCCCUAAAGUGGGGGAUAACAUUUGGAAACAGAUGCUAAUACCGCAUAAAACCUAACACCGCAUGGUGUAGGGUUGAAAGAUGGUUUCGGCUAUCACUUUAGGAUGGACCCGCGGUGCAUUAGUUAGUUGGUGAGGUAAAGGCUCACCAAGACCGUGAUGCAUAGCCGACCUGAGAGGGUAAUCGGCCACACUGGGACUGAGACACGGCCCAGACUCCUACGGGAGGCAGCAGUAGGGAAUCUUCCACAAUGGACGAAAGUCUGAUGGAGCAACGCCGCGUGAGUGAAGAAGGUUUUCGGAUCGUAAAACUCUGUUGUUGGAGAAGAAUGUAUCUGAUAGUAACUGAUCAGGUAGUGACGGUAUCCAACCAGAAAGCCACGGCUAACUACGUGCCAGCAGCCGCGGUAAUACGUAGGUGGCAAGCGUUGUCCGGAUUUAUUGGGCGUAAAGCGAGCGCAGGCGGUUUCUUAAGUCUGAUGUGAAAGCCUUCGGCUCAACCGAAGAAGUGCAUCGGAAACUGGGAAACUUGAGUGCAGAAGAGGACAGUGGAACUCCAUGUGUAGCGGUGAAAUGCGUAGAUAUAUGGAAGAACACCAGUGGCGAAAGCGGCUGUCUGGUCUGUAACUGACGCUGAGGCUCGAAAGCAUGGGUAGCAAACAGGAUUA